UGUGUUUAUAGCCAUAUAUUUAUCAAUACUGUAAGCUUUAUUUCCCUUAAUCAGUACCAAAAUAAAAAAAUUAGUUAAUAUGAUUAAUUAAUUGGUUUAUUUUUUCAUUGCCUCAUAUUAUUGUAACUCUAAGGCAGACAACUCAACUCAAAGUCAGGAGGUAAUAAUAGACGAUGUAUUUAUUUUAAGCUAUCAACAAAUAGUUAGACUUGGACUUCCGCUAUCAAGGCACAGGGAGUAAUGUCUUAUGUUCUAAGAGUCCUAAUUAAUACCAGAACAUCAGAACAGACCACCGACACACUUCCCAGUGUCGUUCCAUGUCUUCCGAACAGCUCACUUAUAUCCCACAGGACAGCACUUAGUCCCAGACUGUUCAGACUCACAUAAUUCCUGCUGUAUCAACAAGUCCUUCUUCCUGUAUUAACAUGCCUUUCACUACUUGUGUUGAAUGGCGCUCUGAUGCGCACCACCGGUGUGUCUCGGGAGCUGAGUUACAACAAUGUUAUAUUAGAACAAUAAAUUUCAACUCAAUCCAAUAAUGGCAAGUGGGGAAACUAGCGUGUAACAAAUUUAUACCAGACAGACACCAAAAGUUGAUAUAUGAUUUGUACUAGACAGAUACAAGAGUUGAUAAAAGAUUUGUACUUGACAGACACAAAAAGUCGAUAAAAGAUUUAUACUAGACAGAUAAAAGAGUUGAUAAAAGAUUUGUACU